GGAAGUAGAAGUCGUAACAAGGUUUCCGUAGGUGAACCUGCGGAAGGAUCAUUACAGAGUUCAUGCCCGAAAGGGUAGACCUCCCACCCUUGUGUAUUAUUACUUUGUUGCUUUGGCGAGCGCAAACUCGCCAGAGAAUACCAAAACUCUUUUUAUUAAUGUCGUCUGAGUACUAUAUAAUAGUUAAAACUUUCAACAACGGAUCUCUUGGUUCUG
rnacentral:misc_RNA from 1 species